rnacentral:rRNA from 1 species
UACGUAGGGGGCAAGCGUUGUCCGGAAUUAUUGGGCGUAAAGCGCGCGUAGGCGGCCACUUAAGUCGGAUGUGAAAGCCCCUGGCUCAACUGGGGAAGUGCACCCGAAACUGAAUGGCUUGAGUGCGAAAGAGGGUCGCGGAAUUCCCGGUGUAGAGGUGAAAUUCGUAGAUAUCGGGAGGAACACCGGUGGCGAAGGCGGCGACCUGGGUCGACACUGACGCUGAGGCGCGAAAGCGUGGGGAGCAAACAGG